CAUCGCUCCCAUCCCCCGCCGCCUCGCCCAUCGUGUAAGCGAUGAGCCUUGGAGAAAGGGAGAGAGAGGGGUGAAUCGCGCGCAUUCGCUGAGCGAGAAUAGACCGCGCGACAGAGCGUUGGGGCAAACUGAGGAACGAGCCUCCUAUAGGCUGAGCUUUCGUAACUCUGACAACUCGGUGCUGGAGAGAGGGUCGCGCGCCUCGCGCUUGCUCACACGAAGGCUUCCGUCGAACCGUUGGAGCGUUGGAUUACGGAAGCGUUUACUGUAUUCGAAGAAAUAGGACUCGUGCACGGGAGAGAGGCAUAUGCGCGCGCACGACUGGAGGUGGUUGCUCGCGGCCGCGGCUUCGGCGCGACGUUCCGACGCCACGAGGAAGCGAACGCGUGUAUUCGACGAAAAAAUGUGAAACAAAUGCACGUAUCGCUAGUAGGGUUCUAGUUUGAAAAUAGUUUUUUUUUAUCAAAUAUUCUCCCCGUUUAUAGUCGACUCGUUGGAAAUUUUAUUCGAAUGCAAAUAUCUGAAAAACUGUCUUCCUUUUCAAGCCGGCCAGACGCGGUGAGGUUCUCUACUAAAAUUCCAGGAAAAUUCAAAUAGAUUGUUCGACAUGUGGCGCACACGUGUGUUGUAAGCUUGGCUAGAUAAGUCUCAUUCCAAGGCGUAUUCAUCGAGUGCCCAUUAAAUAUGUAAACAGCAAUUUCGAAAAAAAAUCACGAGCACGUAUCGAUCGAUUUUUUUCUCGAGAAGAAUUUCGUUAGGUCCGCGGGUUCAAGCAGAACCGCGUUGCUCGGACAUUCAUCGCGCUUCGAAAAUAUAAUUCCGUAUUCAAUGUCAACAAUGAACGCUCCAGUACACUCACAAAAGAGUUGGUAACGUUGUUCAAAAUCGUGGACAUUCACUUCGCAAUUUAUUCUCAUCGAAGAAAUAACGUUUUGCUCACGCAGUGACGUCACCGGUAUCUAGUUCGCACUCGCCUUUUCCUCGCUUUCAACACUUUAUUUGCAUCGAGUUCUUUUUAUCUGAGCGCACGUUGCUCGAACUCGUCGACUGGGUGAUAAACGAUAAGGAAAAAACGACGCUGCGGAACAUAAAAUUUAUCAAAGAUCGGCCCGAAAUGCAUCAUUUUUUUUAAAACUUCGCACUUUUGACGUCUCCAGAUUUCGCACUAUUCUCGUCGUGCGAAAUCGUCAUUCAAAUAUAUACAAAAAAUAACUCAAAUUCUUUUAUUUUGAAUAAAUUAUAUCAGAAAAUUUGCUCGCUUCUUUUCAUUCUCAACGCAGCAAUUCUGGCCGAUUGUUUCGCCCCAUUUUUUCCACAGAUCGAGCGUCCCGACCGUCUUUUCUCGAGAACACUUUCCUUCGGGAGUCUCGUGACGACGAAUCUCUCGAAUGUACAAUCGUGUUGUAAUUUACGAAGCAUUCAAGAAAAUCACAUAACGCGAUACGAAAAGAGAUGAGAAGGGGGCAAGAGAGUGUCGUAAAAAGUAAUAAACAUCGCGCCUUGACCUCGAUCUUCCUUCGUGCUCGCUCUCUUUCGAUGAUCCAUUCAAGUUCAAUGCUUCUCGCUCAUCGAUUAAUUCUCGGGUCAUCGAUCCAUUGUUUUUGUUCGAACGUCCGCGAGGCAUCGCGCUCCGGAGGCGAAAUCGUAAUUUCUCAUUCCUCGCAUAAAGCUUCAAAAACGAUCGGAUUGUAAAAAGCUAAAUAAUUUAAAAAACUCUAAAAAGGCGAUAUAAAAAAUCGAUUCGAGGGAAAUUCGUCCUCGGAAACGGAGCUGAAUAAAUUUGUCGAUCCUCGAAGCUCCACUUUGUUAAAUUCAUUUCUCGAAAUACAAACGGCUCGAUCGAAAUAACGAGUUCUUUUCUUCGUCCGCGAAUAGUUCGAGUCUGCGAGGACGAAGUUGCUGUUGAAAGGCCCUAUUUUCGGACAAAGAUCGAAGGGCGGGCGCAGGGGGAGAGGAGUCCAUUGGGAAGUUCGAAGAACUAAUGAGUCGAUUACGAGAAAUUUAUCGGAGUUUUGAACCGCUCGGAAUAACGAAGCAAAGUGGAUCCAAAGCAAUUUGGGGCAGUUAAAGGUUGGGAAUGGUUGAUCGAGGGGCCGAGUAACGCCGCGUUUGCGAACUUUCAGUUUGCUCAUUCAUUAUCGAAAGUCAGAAAAACGUCCUUUUCGUCGUUUUAUUUCCUAGGCGUGAACGUUCGUGGACGCGGAAACGUCGCGCGGCGCGGGGAGGUCAGGAGCUCCGAAUAUCUUCUCAGGAGAAUAAAGAACGAAGGCAGACUCGAACGAUGAGUUUAGUGGAGUGACGGCGGAGCAGAAUGAGCAACGUCUCAAACGUUAAUUGCUCACCACUUUAAGUACGAGGCUUUUUAGUACACUGUCGCCCCACGAGCAUCGAUUCUGAUCAAUUCGAUGACGAAAUAUUCGACCAAUUUCGAUUGUUUCGCGCUUCCUAGCGCUUUCUCCCUUCUUCUCGGUCCUCCUCGUCACACGCGCGCGGUACACGCGCGACUCGGAAUUGCUUGAACUCUCCGCCAGCCAAUUUGACGGUCAUAACUCACGCGCUGAGGAGUUACGCGUGACUGUGAAUGAACCGAAAAUCACGUGGGAUCGAGCGCCACCAAAUUGGGCUCUUUCGAAUAUUUUUUUUUUACGAAAUUCUUUCGAAGCACCCACUCGCUAGGGAAUAUAUUCGAAAACGAGUGCGAUGUGACGGGACAGUUAAAAACGAAAUUUCUCGGAGCUUUUCGGGCGGAAAUUUCAAAAAGGAAAUUCGCUUUUUUCUGCUUUUUGACUGCUCCUCAGAAAAAGUGGCUCAAGACCUCGCGUGCGUUCGGAAUUUUCGAAGAAUCCAUUUUCUUUUUACGGAUUAUUAUUCUCCAUAGUUUUAGGCGCAUUUCUGUGAACGUCGAUUUGUAAAAUUUCUCUGUAUAGAUCGAAAGUUAUUACAGAAAACGUGACUGUCCAACUGGAGGGCCCUUUAAUACUUUUUGACGCUUGUUUGUUUUUAAUAUUCGAAAUUGUUUCCUCUGUGGUCUGUCGAGUCGGAUUUUUGAUAUCGCGAUCAGAAGAUUUGAUAAACAUAAUUAAAGUGUGACACGAAAUGCACACUUUUUUAAACUGCCGUAAAUUCAUAAUUUUUCGCAGACUGCAACUUUAUUUUACAGCUGUUUUUUUUUACGUAUUGGAGAUCUAUCAACAUUUCAAGAAGAAACAAUGCAGACCGUGGAGCAACUUAUUUUUCACGCAGUUGUAAUACUUGAAAAAAAAUGAAAUAAAUUUUUUUACGAAGAUUAAA